UUCUGCUAACACAAACAGGUAGCUGAGGCAAUCGUUUAAAUACUGAGAGUUUAGAAGGUGUCAGCAGUAUUUCUGAGUGUCACACUGAUGACACUUUAUUUGUCUAACACUUUAUUUCCUCCGAGGAUUUUCCCACUAUACUCUUAGAGCCGGGUGAAGAGAAGACAUACGGAAGAAGAGGCUGAAAGUCUCCUCGGAGGACAGCAGCGAUGCCUCUCCGGUGGUCCCGCUCUCAUCUCCGGCAAAGCCACGAACCGUCCGCCUGCAGUGCACAAGUCAGUUGUGUCGCAAAGCUGCAAAGCAGGUGUGAUUUUUCCUCAUAAUCAGCCCUUCAUAAAUCCCAGGAGGGCUGAGAGGACCCGGCUGAGGAGUCACGGAGGAAUGUAGUCCUCCGGACCAGAAAAAAACCUCCAGCAUUUCCUGAAAUUACAGCCAGCACACUCCUGUGCCAUCUCCCCGACGCUCCGUGGUUCUAUUUUGCCGACGGCGGAGGUAUUACAGACAGGGGAAAAGCGCUGAAAGUU